rnacentral:rRNA from 1 species
GUAGUUACCUUACGGGUACGGGCGUUACCACGGUAUGAUUCAUGACUGGGGUG